GCGUUAAAUUCGGCAUUUUUGUGUUUGGAAUUAAUUACAUCACACUGCGGACGUGCUUUUAUAUACAAUUUGUUCCCCUAAUUGGCUCAACAAUUGUUUUGACGCUUCAGCUAUGCAUUGGAAUCGACCGUCUGAUCGGAGUUAUCUUUCCAAUCUGGUUAUAAAGCUUAUAAUUUUUAUAUUAGCUUUUUAAGAUAAUUUAUUUAAAUUAAUAUAUAUCAUUAAUAUUUUUAAGGUAUAAAGCAAAUGGAAAAAACGUCACUUUUAAAUUUGUCAUUGGCUUUUGUUGCAUUAGAUCGAUAUUAAAUGGGUUCAACAUCUACAUUGGAAGCUCCAGGCAUUGGGAAAAGUUAGAAUUUUGCAAAAAAUUAAUUUAAAAAGAAAAUUUAGACCGGUGAUGUGCAUUGCUGGCGACCCCAGNGCAACGGGUCCGUGUUGGUUUGAGCUGGCGGUCGGUGGCGGUCGCGUGCGACACGUGCCAGCAGUCAGUUCGGUCCUGCUCGGGCUCUCAUUGCAUGUUCUCGGUGUAAAAGCCGGUCAUCUGUCCGACCCGUCUUGAAACACGGACCAAGGAGUUUAGCGUGUGCGCGAGUCAUUGGGAGUUGAAAACCCAAGGGCGUAAUGAAAGUGAAGGUCUCCUUGCGGAGCUGAUGUGUGAUCUCGUGCACCCCGGUGUGCGGGCGCAACAUAGUCCCGUCCCGAUCGCAUGCGAUGGGGCGGAGACAGAGCGUACGCGCUGAGACCCGAAAGAUGGUGAACUAUUCCUGAGCAGGAUGAAGCCAGAGGAAACUCUGGUGGAAGUCCGAAGCGAUUCUGACGUGCAAAUCGAUCGUCUGACUUGGGUAUAGGGGCGAAAGACUAAUCGAACCAUCUAGUAGCUGGUUCCCUCCGAAGUUUCCCCCAGGAUAGCUGGAGCUCGUCAAGCAGUUAUACUCGGUAAAGCGAAUGAUUAGAGGACUUGGGGACGAAAUGUUCUUAACCUAUUCUCAAACUCUAAAUGGGUAUGAAGCCAGGGUUGCUUGACUCUGAACCCCGGCGUUGAAUGUUUGAGCUCCAAGUGGGCCAUUUUUGGUAAGCAGAACUGGCGAUGUGGGAUGAACCAAACGUGGAGUUAAGGUGCCAAAGUGCCCGCUCAUUAGACCCCAUAAAAGGUGUUGGUUGAUAUAGACAGCAGGACGGUGGCCAUGGAAGUCGGAAUCCGCUAAGGAGUGUGUAACAACUCACCUGCCGAAUCAACUAGCCCUGAAAAUGGAUGGCGCUGGAGCGGGCCACCUAUACUCUGCCGUCAUUGGCUUGUACGCCACUGCUGUGGACAGUCUGGCCAUGACGUGUAGGAGGGUCGUGGUGGUUGCGUUGAAGGCUUUGGGCGUGGGCCCGGCCGGAGCUUCCACCAGUGCAGAUCUUGGUGGUAGUAGCAAAUAUUCAAGUGAGAUCCUUGAAGACUGAAGUGGAGAAGGGUUCCACGUGAACAGCAGUUGAAUGUGGGUCAGCCGAUCCUAAGGCACCGGCUAAUGCCGUCACACACUACGGAUGAAGACUUUGCUGUGCUUGCGCAGUUUGUCCAUCCGGUUGCCGAAAGGGAAGUGGGUUAACAUUCCCACGCCAGGCCAGGGAAAUGACGGUUCGCAAGAACUGUUUCGCGCGGUAACGCAAAUGAACUCGCAGACGUCGUGUGGAGUCCGAGCCAGAGUUCUCUUUUCUGGUUUAGGGCGUGCGUGCCUGGAAGUGGCUCAGCCUGAGAUAGGGAUGUUGCGCCCGUAAAGCACCGCGGUUCCUGUGGUGUCUCGUGCGCUCCACACGGCCCUUGAAAAUGCGAGNGCCGUCUCCUUGCGGGGUGGUGCGUGGACUAGUGGUGAGAGCUGCUUGUGGAGCGCUUCAGCUGCGUGUAUGCUCGUCAGGGUAUGCACUUCGGUUGGCGCUGAACGACCAGUUUAGAACUGGCACGAACUCGGGGAAUCCGACUGUCUAAUUAAAACAGAGGAGACGGAUGGUCCUUGUGGACGUUGACCGUGUCUGAUUUCUGCCCAGUGCUCUGAAUGUUAAGCCAAGGAAACUUGAUUAAGCGCGGGUAAACGGCGGGAGUAACUAUGACUCUCUUAAGGUAGCCAAAUGCCUCGUCGGCUAACUACCGACGCGCACGAAUGGGGGGCUGGUCAGACUGUGUAGGGCACGUACGCCUGAGCACAAUCAGACCAAAGCACGCUGCCUCCAGGGUGCUACACUGGCGAACAAGGGAUUCGGUGUAGUGUCAACUCCGGCUGGAGCCACCCUAGGAGCCCCCCGGGUGACGCCAAAGAGCGUGCGCGCGUAUUGGAUCUGUCCCAUAUAUACCCUAUUACUCUAUAACUAUGUCUGGUGUAUGCAUAUUGACCUUAUUCUCAUAUGAACUGCCAUUUUCAUGCAGAAAUAACACGAGACUGCUGUUCAGAUUAUGAAUAAUAAUCGCUUUUUUAAUGCCCGAAAACCGUUCGUGCAACAGCAGCAGCAGCAACAGUUCCGUAACCGCGCACCUCUGGCUCCGGCUCGUAAAGAACCAGGGUGCAAGGUUCAGCUGCUCGUCCAGGAUUUCUUUAAGCAUAUUGAAAUCAGUAAGGGUUAAGUGUAUAACGAAAGCCCAAUGUGUUAUUUCGUGCAGAAAAUGGCAAGGUGGUCGUCUCGAGGGAUGAGCUCAACGCGGCCCUCGAAGCUGCCGAGCCAGUCGUUGAAGAGAAGAACCCGCUGUCGGGGAUGGAGGCUCGACUCAAAGCAUUGGAAGAGCAGCUGGCCGCGGCUCCGAUUCCAGUGCAGAAAGUCGU
rnacentral:rRNA from 1 species